rnacentral:rRNA from 1 species
UACGAAGGGGGCUAGCGUUGCUCGGAAUUACUGGGCGUAAAGGGCGCGUAGGCGGAUAGUUUAGUCAGAGGUAAAAGCCCAGGGCUCAACCUUGGAACUGCCUUUGAUACUGGCUAUCUUGAGUUCGGGAGAGGUGAGUGGAACUGCGAGUGUAGAGGUGAAAUUCGUAGAUAUUCGCAAGAACACCAGUGGCGAAGGCGGCUCACUGGCCCGAUACUGACGCUGAGGUGCGAAAGCGUGGGGAGCAAACAGG